rnacentral:tRNA from 1 species
UAUAAGGAAGUUAUCAUAUUAACCAAAAUUUUUGAGUUAUUUAAACUAGGUUUUUUAUAU